AGCAACGCCGCGUGCGGGAAGAAGGCCCUAGGGUUGUAAACCGCUUUCAGCAGGGAAGAAGAUGACGGUACCUGUAGAAGAAGGUGCGGCCAACUACGUGCCAGCAGCCGCGGUGACACGUAGGCACCAAGCGUUGUCCGGAUUUAUUGGGCGUAAAGAGCUCGUAGGCGGUUCGGUAAGUCGGGUGUGAAAACUCUGGGCUCAACCCAGAGCCGCCACCCGAUACUGCUGUGACUUGAGUUCGGUAGGGGAGCGGGGAAUUCCUGGUGUAGCGGUGAAAUGCGCAGAUAUCAGGAGGAACACCAGUGGCGAAGGCGCCGCUCUGGGCCGAGACUGACGCUGAGGAGCGAAAGCGUGGGUAGCAAACAGGAUUAGAUACCCUGGUAGUCCACGCCGUAAACGUUGGGCACUAGGUGUGGGUCUCAACCAACGAGAUCCGCGCCGUCGCUAACGCAUUAAGUGCCCCGCCUGGGGAGUAGGGUCGCAAGACUA
rnacentral:rRNA from 1 species